CUCCGCCCAUUUCCCCCGUCCGGCGCUCUCAGUGGCCGGCGGGAGCGCGCGCCGCCGGGCCGCCCAGCCCGUUGGCCCGCGGAUUCCCCCGUCAGUCACGCGGAGGCGCUUCUCGCGGAGGCGCGGCUUGGUUGGCCCGUGCGCGCUGCCGAUCGCGGGCCCGGCCGCCUCUUUGAACUGAAUUCGCGGAAAAAUUAGGGGUCGGAGCGGCCUUCCUGCUGGCCCCGUAACAUGUAACAUGGAACAGAAAGGUGCAGAAUGGAGCAACUUUUUUGAGGAGAACUAUUUAUGCAGUUAGAAAGAGAGGGAAUAUUUAUGGAAGACACUGCCUGGUCAUGUGAAACUAACAGACUUUGGACUACGCAAAGAAUCUAUUCAUGAUGGAACAGUCACACACACGUUUUGUGGAACAAUAAAAUACAUGGCCCCUGAAAUCUUGAUGAGAAGUGGCCACAAUCGUGCUGUGGAUUGGUGGAGUUUGGGAGCAUUCAUGUAUGACAUGCUGACUGGAGCAGUAGGUGCACAGUUAAAAGCUGUGUGUAUUAUGGUCUGUGCUGAGUCACUGUAGCAAGAGACCUGUCCUGUGCUUUCUGAAAAUGUUACCAGUGGAGUUUUCAAAGCCCAAAGAUUUGUUAUUAGCAGUUUAACACUAAUAAUGCUGUAUGAUUAUAUGGGAUCUCAUACUUUCAGAAACAUUUUCAUUUAAAUGAUCUAUGUCAUAGCAGGCCUGUGAAAUAGAUGUUGAACAGAUAAUGCCCUUAUUUUAUAAAUGGAGAAAUUGAAGCAUAAAAUCACAUGGCUCACUUAUUAUCACACAGCAAGUUAACGGUGGAAACACAGGCUUCCUUCCAGGACACUGCUACUUCCUCUGUCCUGUUGCUUAAAAACUGCACGUCUGCCGGGCACUGUGGUGCAUGCCUGUAGCCCAAGCUACUCAGGAGGCUGAGGCGGGAGGAUCAUUUGAGCUAAGGAUUAUUAAUAGAAUCUAGCCUUGACAACAUAGCAAGACCCUGUCUCUAAAACAAAAUAAAGGUCUUUAGCAGUUAGCCCAUUUCACAGCAUACAUUUCUGAUCUCCAUGCAUAACUAAUUCAGGAAAUAGAUAUUGUUAUUUAAAAUUUGUUUCGUUAUACUAAUAUUUUUCAGUUGUCUUCUACUCUUAGCCCCCAUUUACUGGGGAGAAUAGAAAGAAAACAAUUGACAACAUCCUCAAAUGUAAACUCAAUUUGCCUCCCUACCUCACACAAGAAGCCAGAGGUCUGCUUAAAAAGCUGCUGAAAAGAAAUGCUGCUUCUCAUCUGUGAGCUGGUCCUGGGGACGCUGGAGAAGUGCAAGUAGAGAUUGGCAUGUUUGCUGUUUUGUGGGGAAGAUAAUGCUAGUUUUAUGUAUUUCUGAGGGUUAUAUGUAGUUGCUUAUAAGUUUAGCUUAUUUUGUGACUUGUAACUUCAAAAAGGUGAUUAUCAAUCCAGCAAAGUCUAUUCCCCCCAACGUUUCUUUCUGCUUUUUUUUCCCUAGGCUCAUCCAUUCUUUAGACACAUUAACUGGGAAAAAUUUCUGGCUCAAAAGGUGGAGCCCCCUUUUAAACCUCUGUUGCAAUCUGAAGAGGAUGUAAGUCAGUUUGAUUCCAAGUUUACACGUCAGACACCUGUCGACAGCCCAGAUGACGCAGCUCUCAGUGAAAGUGCCAAUCAGGUCUUUCUGAUGGAGUCUCACUCUCUCGCCAGACUGGAGUGCAACGGCACGAUCUCAGCUCACUGCAACCUCCACCUCCCUGGUUCAAGCAAUUCUCCUGCCUCAGCCUCCCGAGUAGCUGGGAUUACAGAUGCCUCUGCGAGAACGGGAACAAUGGAACAGGCCCUCACCAAAUGCCAAAUGUGCUAUCACCUUGAAUUUGGAUUUCCCAGCCUCUGGAACUGUUGAGACUGAGCUAAAGUUAAUCUGUGGCAAUAUUCUGGAUGUACUGGACAAACACCUCAUUCCAGCAGCUACCACUGGCAAGUCCAAGGUUUUCUAUUAUGAAAUGUAGGUUCUAUACUAAAA